ensembl:lncRNA
UUGCUGGGUUACGUCCACAUCUGAAAGAAAGAAAGAGACAAGGAUAAACCAAUGGUGACGACUUGGCAUUGACAUAUCUUCAGUAGACGUGCUCACCUGUAUUCAGCCCCGCACCGAGUAAUCUGCACCGAACCCGUACCAGAAGUCACUUAAAACUCACCUUGCACUUGUGAUUCUGAAAUAAACACUGUGUUUGGAUUCACUUAACUCUGCCUCGCGUCUCUAUCCUGACAGAAGGUUUGACCAACACCGCUAUGAAUCCAACGCAGACUGAAGACAGUGCUUCUGCAAACACCGCUUCCACGCUGGUGUACAUCGCAAACACAGUCUCUCGACCAGUGCCCUUCUCUGGCCGGGCAGAAGAUUGCAAUGGGUUCCUACUGCAAUGCUCGCUCACCCUUGAACACGCCCACCAAUAUCCCACGGAAAGAUCCAAGAUCUCGUUUGUCAUCCAGCAGUUAUCCGGGGCAGCGUUAAGAUGGGCUGAAACGCUGUGGUUUCAAGAGACUCCGAUUACCUCUUCAUUACAAAGUUUCAUCAAUCAUUUCAAAGAAGUGUUUGGAUGUCCAGUAGGCGAUUCAUCAGUCAGCGACCAGCUAUUACAGUUACGUCAAGGUGAAAGAUCCAUUUCUGAGUACUCCCUGGAAUUCCGAACUCUAGCCUCAGCAAGCGGGUGGAAUGAGAAGGCCCUCCUUACUGUGUAUCAAAGAGGACUAAACCAACGCUUCGCCUUCUGCUCACCAUUUAUGAUGACACUUUGGGGCUAGAGAAACUUAUGCAACAAGCUCUCCGGGUUCAUCAAAGAUCACAACACUGCUAUCGAGACACUCAAAUAUCAGUUCCCGUUCCCCAUCCGAAUUUAUACGAAGUAUUCCCAGAACCGAAAUCAGAGAAGAUGCAAGUAGAAACCCACAGGCUGUCUCAAGCAGAAUGCAACCGUUGGCGAGAGUUGAAGCUAUGUCUCUACUGUGGGAACGGAGGUCACUUCCUACAAACAUGCCCAUCUCGUCCGCCUCGUAUGCUGUCACCGCCAUCGUGGACUCCGGAUCAGCAGGCAAUUUCAUAUCGGGAGGUCUCGUCAAGACUCUCAAGCUCAAAAGUACCAGUACCCCCAAGCCGUACUCCAUCCAUGCCGUGACUGGCGAAGUCAUCAACAAAGGGUAUGUAACAUCUCAGAUAACACCUAUCAACCUAUGUGUUGAGGAUACCCACCUUGAAUUAUUUAACCCGUUCAUCCUUGAGAAUAGCCAGGCUGACAUCAUCCUGGGUCGCCCAUGGCUCAUUCGACACCAACCUACCAUUAACUGGGAAUCUGGGAAGAUACUGAUCUGGGGUUGCAACUGCCUAUCCACCAGCAUAACAAUCCCCGUCCAACCUACGGACGACCAACUCGAACCAGUUCCACUUCCAUUGAAAGCCUAUCAGUCACAAUUCCUCCAUGUUACUCAUCUUUUUCAGAUGUGUUCAACCCUGUUGCAGCCUCCAGGUUACCACCACACCGACCUUGGGAUUGUGCUAUCAACUUGGUCCCAGGUGAAACCAUUUCAAAGGGUCGUAUCUAUUCAUUAUCCAUCCCCGAACAAACUGCCAUGCAAAGGUACAUUGAAGAGGCCCUGCAACAAGGGUAUAUCUGACCUUCCACCUCUCCAGCUGCCGCCAGCUUCUUCUUUGUCCCUAAAAAGGAUGAGGGUUUGCGGCCCUGUAUAGAUUAUAGAGCCCUAAAUAAGAUCACCGUAAAAUUCAGCUAUCCACUUUCGUUAGUGCCAUCCGCCCUAGAACAACUCAGAGAAGCGCGCAUAUUCACUAAGCUAGACCUGAGGAGUGCCUAUAACUUGAUCAGAAUUUGAGAAGGGGACGAAUGGAAAACGGCGUUCAUCACCACAGCAGGGCACUAAGAAUACCUUGUGACGCCGUAUGACCUAGUAAACGCCCCCUCUGUGUUCCAGAGUUUUAUGGACCAGGUCCUCCGAGAAUUCCUGAACCGCUUUGUUCUGGUUUACAUUGAUGAUAUACUUACCUUCUCCAGUGAUGAAACCGAACAUCAGCACCAUGUCUCCCAGGUCCUCCAACGGCUCAGAGAGCUUUCCCUGUUCCUAAAAGCAGAGAAGUGCGUUUUCCAUCAGACCUCCAUCGAAUUCCUGGGUUACCAUAUCAGUGAGAAAGGAGUUAAGAUGGAUGACCUUAAGACCCAAGCCAUCAGUUCCUGGCCCACUCCCAAGUCAAUCAAGGAGUUACAGAGGUUCCUGGGCUUUGCAAACUUUUACCGCCAGUUCAUAGACCGGUACAGUAUGCUAACAACACCAUUAACGUCUCUCCUGAAGGGGAAGCCGAAGACCCUUCACUGGACCCCAGACGCGGAACACGCCUUCCAAACGUUAAAGGCCGCCUUCACCAUGGCUCCCCUGCUCCAGCACCCAGACCCAGAAAAAAGAUUCAUCGUGGAGGUGGACGCUUAAACAACCGGCAUAGGGGCCAUCCUGUCGCAGUACCCAAAGAACUCCUCCAAACCCAUGCCUUGUGCAUUUUUCUCCCGAAAGUUAUCCCCCGCUGAGAGUAACUACGAUAUCGGCAACCGGGAACUCCUAGCCGUGAAACUCGUUCUGGAAGAAUGGAGGCAUUGGUUGGAGGGGGCCAGGCAUCCAUUUCUUGUACUUACCGACCACAGGAACCUCCAAUAUUUAAAGGAAGCCAAGAGGCUUAACCCCCAAUUCCUAUGUGUCCUGGGCUAUCAGCUGCCACUGUUUCCCUGGUCCGGUGAGCCAUCAGAAGUCCCUGCCGUGAAUGCCUGGAUCCAAGAUAGUGAGAGGGUUUGGAACCAGGCACACCACCACCUUCAGCAGGCAGUAAAUCGCCACCGGCACUUUGCUGAUACUCACCACCGCCAAACUCCCACCUACCAGCCUGGGCAAUUAGUAUGGCUCUCCACUCGUGAUAUCCGGUUGAAGCAACCAUGUCGCAAGUUAAGCCCAAAAUACAUCGGUCCAUUCCCUGUGGAGAGCCAAGUUAACCUGGUCACUUACAGACUUCGACUGCCCGCUCAGUAUUGGAUACACCCCACCUUUCAUGUCUCCCUUCUGAAACCCCAUCACUUACCUGUCUCUGUUCCCUCUGCAGACCCGGCCCCUGACAAUACCCCCCCCCCCCGAUACCGCCCAUAGAAGCCAAGCCCAUCUACACGGUCAAGGAGAUACUAGAUUCACCUCGUUGUGGUGGACGACUCGAGUACCUGGUGGACUGGGAGGAUUAUGGUCCAGAAGAGAGGUGUUGGGUACCUCGUCAUGAUAUCCUCGACCCCAAUCUGCUCACCGAGUUUCAUGCACAGUAUCCGGGGAAACCGGCUCUGCGGCCGCGCGGCAGACCCCCAUGACGUCGGGGUCUCAAGGACUCUGGAGGGGGGGGUAAUGUCAGGGACCAGUCAAGCCCGGUCCCAUCCACCUCACAACGAUCACUCUCCCCAGAGUACUAAUCACCCGCACCUGCUCACCAUUACCAACCUCAUCAUAGCACACCAUAAAACACUCCCCACAACCCCAGUUCAAUGUCAAACCUCCAACAGGAACAGACCAUAUGCUGUUGUCUCCUGACCUGCUGAUGCACCACGGAUUCAAGGACGUAACGUAUACUCACCUUUGAAACACUAACCCCUGUGUCAUUGUUCCACUGCUUCCAGGACUCCUGCUUGAUCCCCUGUUACCUGUGAGCUGAUGCUCAUCUGUACUUCCAGUGUUUCCCUCUGAGCUUGCUGGGUUACGUCCACAUCUGAAAGAAAGAAAGAGACAAGGAUUAACCAACGAUGACGACUUGGCAUUGACAUAUCUUCAGUAGACGUACUCACCUGCAUUCAGCCCCGCACUGAGUAAUCUGCACCAAACCCGCACCAGAAGUCACUGAAAAAUCAUCUUGCACUUGUGAUUCUGAAAUAAACACUGUUUGGAUUCACUUACCUCUGCCUCG